rnacentral:rRNA from 1 species
UACGUAGGGUGCAAGCGUUGUCCGGAAUUAUUGGGCGUAAAGGGCUCGUAGGCGGUCUGUCGCGUCAGGAGUGAAAACUCGGGGCUUAACCCCGAGCCUGCUUCUGAUACGGGCAGACUAGAGGUAUGCAGGGGAGAACGGAAUUCCUGGUGUAGCGGUGAAAUGCGCAGAUAUCAGGAGGAACACCGGUGGCGAAGGCGGAUCUCUGGGCCAUUACUGACGCUGAGGAGCGAAAGCGUGGGGAGCGAACAGG